GACUUGCUCCUUGGGUGGCGAGUGGCGGACGGGUGAGGAAUACGUCGGAAUCUGCCUAUUUGUGGGGGAUAACGUAGGGAAACUUACGCUAAUACCGCAUACGACCUACGGGUGAAAGUGGGGGACCGCAAGGCCUCACGCAGAUAGAUGAGCCGACGUCGGAUUAGCUAGUUGGCGGGGUAAAGGCCCACCAAGGCGACGAUCCGUAGCUGGUCUGAGAGGAUGAUCAGCCACACUGGAACUGAGACACGGUCCAGACUCCUACGGGAGGCAGCAGUGGGGAAUAUUGGACAAUGGGCGCAAGCCUGAUCCAGCCAUGCCGCGUGUGUGAAGAAGGCCUUCGGGUUGUAAAGCACUUUUGUCCGGAAAGAAAAGCUUAGGAUUAAUAACCUUGAGUCAUGACGGUACCGGAAGAAUAAGCACCGGCUAACUUCGUGCCAGCAGCCGCGGUAAUACGAAGGGUGCAAGCGUUACUCGGAAUUACUGGGCGUAAAGCGUGCGUAGGUGGUUUGUUAAGUCUGAUGUGAAAGCCCUGGGCUCAACCUGGGAAUGGCAUUGGAAACUGGCUU
rnacentral:rRNA from 1 species